GAUGAACGCUGGCGGCGUGCCUAAUACAUGCAAGUCGAGCGAACAGACGAGGAGCUUUCUCCUCUGCCGUUAGCGGCGGACGGGUGAGUAACACGUGGAUAACCUACCUAUAAGACUGGGAUAACUUCGGGAACCCGGAGCUCAUACCGGAUAAUAUAUUGAACCGCAUGGUUCAAUAGUGAACGACGGUUUUGCUGUCACUUAUAGAUGGAUCCGCGCCGCAUUAGCUAGUUGGUAAGGUAACGGCUUACCAAGGCAACGAUGCGUAGCCGACCUGAGAGGGUGAUCGGCCACACUGGAACUGAGACACGGUCCAGACUCCUACGGGAGGCAGCAGUAGGGAAUCUUCCGCAAUGGGCGAAAGCCUGACGGAGCAACGCCGCGUGAGUGAUGAAGGUCUUCGGAUCGUAAAACUCUGUUAUUAGGGAAGAACAAAUGUGUAAGUAACUAUGCACGUCUUGACGGUACCUAAUCAGAAAGCCACGGCUAACUACGUG
rnacentral:rRNA from 1 species